GGCUUUCGGACUGGCCCAGAGAGGUGGGCAACUACCACUCAGGGCCGGAAAGUUAUCCAAACUCGGUCAUUUAGAGGAAGUAAAAGUCGUAACAAGGUCUCCGUUGGUGAACCAGCGGAGGGAUCAUUA
rnacentral:rRNA from 1 species